CUCCCGGUUGAUCUGCCGGGACCCGACUGCUUUCAGAGUGAGAUUAAGCCAUGCGAGUCAACGUAGCAAUACGUGGCACACGGCUCAGUAACACGUAGUCAACAUAACCAAAGGACGUGGAUAAACUCGGGAAACUGAGGCUAAACCGCGAUAGAUCAAGAUAUCUGGAAUGGUUUUUGAUCGAAAUCUAUAUGGCCUUUGGAUUGGACUGCGUCCGAUCAGGCUGUUGGUGAGGUAAUGGCCCACCAAACCUGUAACCGGUACGGGCUCUGAGAGGAGGAGCCCGGAGAUGGGUACUGAGAAAAGGACCCAGGCCCUAUGGGGCGCAGCAGGCGCGAAACCUCUGCAAUAGGCGAAAGCCUGACAGGGUUACUCUGAGUGAUUUCCGUUAAGGAGAUCUUUUGGCACCUCUAAAAAUGGUGCAGAAUAAGGGGUGGGCAAGUCUGGUGUCAGCCGCCGCGGUAAUACCAGCACCCCGAGUGGUCGGGACGUUUAUUGGGCCUAAAGCAUCCGUAGCCGGUUCUACAAGUCUUCCGUUAAAUCCACCUGCUUAACAGAUGGGCUGCGGAAGAUACUAUAGAGCUAGGAGGCGGGAGAGGCAAGCGGUACUCGAUGGGUAGGGGUAAAAUCCGUUGAUCCAUUGAAGACCACCAGUGGCGAAGGCGGCUUGCCAGAACGCGCUCGACGGUGAGGGAUGAAAGCUGGGGGAGCAAACCGGAUUAGAUACCCGGGUAGUCCCAGCUGUAAACGAUGCAGACUCGGUGAUGAGUUGGCUUAUUGCUAACUCAGUGCCGCAGGGAAGCCGUUAAGUUUGCCGCCUGGGGCGUACGGUCGCAAGACUGAAACUUAAAGGAAUUGGCGGGGGAGCA
rnacentral:rRNA from 1 species